GCUUGUCUCAAAGAUUAAGCCAUGCAUGUAUAAGUAUAAACGCAUUGAAGCGUGAAACCGCGAACGGCUCAUUACAACAGCUAUAAUUUACUUGAUCUUGACAUCCUACAUGGAUAACUGUGGUAAUUCUAGAGCUAAUACAUGCACCAAAGCUCCAACCCGCAAGGGAAGAGCGCAUUUAUUAGAACAAAACCAAGCGGCUUCGGCUGCCCAACGUUGACUCAGAAUAAUUAAGCUGAUCGCAUGGUCUUGUACCGGCGACGUGUCUUUCAAGUAUCUGCCUUAUCAACUUUCGAUGGUACUGUCAUUGACUACCAUGGUGGUGACGGGUAACGGAGGAUCAGGGUUCGACUCCGGAGAAGGGGCCUGAGAAAUGGCCACUACGUCUAAGGAUGGCAGCAGGCGCGCAAAUUACCCACUCUCAGAACAACUAGAGGAGGUAGUGACGAGAAAUAACGAGACUGUUCUCAACAGAGGCCGGUCAUCGGAAUGGGUACAAUUUAAACCCUUUAACGAGUAUCUAUGAGAGGGCAAGUCUGGUGCCAGCAGCCGCGGUAAUUCCAGCUCUCAAAAUGCAUAGAAUUAUUGCUGCGGUUAAAAAGCUCGUAGUUGGAUCUGUGCCAGCAUGCCGGUCCAUCUUCGGAUGCGUACUGGUUCAUUGCCGGCUUUCCUGCAGUUUGUCGGCUCUGUGCCCUUCACUGGGCGCAGUUGUUCGGUGCUGCAAGUUUACUUUGAACAAAUCAGAGUGCCCUAAACAGGCGUUUCGCUUGAAUGUUCGUGCAUGGAAUAAUAGAAGAGGAUUUCGGUUCUAUUUUAUUGGUUUUAUAGAUUGAGAUAAUGGUUAACAGAGACAAACGGGGGCAUUCGUAUUGCUACGUGAGAGGUGAAAUUCUUGGACC
rnacentral:rRNA from 1 species